GACGAACGCUGGCGGCAGGCUUAACACAUGCAAGUCGAGCGGGGUGAUGGUGCUUGCACUAUCACUUAGCGGCGGACGGGUGAGUAAUGCUUAGGAAUCUGCCUAUUAGUGGGGGACAACAUCUCGAAAGGGAUGCUACUACCGCAUACGUCCUACGGGAGAAAGCAGGGGAUCACUUGUGACCUUGCGCUAAUAGAUGAGCCUAAGUCGGAUUAGCUAGUUGGUGGGGUAAAGGCCUACCAAGGCGACGAUCUGUAGCGGGUCUGAGAGGAUGAGACGCGAAACUAGGACUGAGACAGGGGACAGACUCCGACGGGAGGCAGCAGUGGGGAAUAGUGGACAAUGGGGUGAACCCUGAUGCAGCCAUGCCGCGUGUGUGAAGAAGGCCUUAUGGUUGUAAAGCACUUUAAGCGAGGAGGAGGCUCUUUUGGUUAAUACCCAAGAUGAGUGGACGUUACUCGCAGAAUAAGCACCGGCUAACUCUGUGCCAGCCGCCGCGUAA
rnacentral:rRNA from 1 species